rnacentral:ncRNA from 1 species
AAAAACAUAUUAAUAUUCACUUGUAUAAAUUCUGCAAUAAGGGUGGAAUGUUUCUACCGAGCUACCGUAAAUUGCUCGUGGCUAUAAGUGUCUACUAAACAUUU